GGCUCCAUAGUGUAGUGGUUAGCACGUUUGCUUUAUAUGCAGAAGGUCCUGGGUUCGCACCCUGGGUGGAGCCA
rnacentral:tRNA from 1 species